GUGGGGAAUUUUGGACAAUGGGGGCAACCCUGAUCCAGCCAUGCCGCGUGCGGGAAGAAGGCCUUCGGGUUGUAAACCGCUUUUGUCAGGGAAGAAAUCCUUUGGGUUAAUACCUCGGAGGGAUGACGGUACCUGAAGAAUAAGCACCGGCUAACUACGUGCCAGCAGCCGCGGUAAUACGUAGGGUGCGAGCGUUAAUCGGAAUUACUGGGCGUAAAGCGUGCGCAGGCGGUUUUGUAAGAUCGAUGUGAAAUCCCCGGGCUCAACCUGGGAACUGCAUUGGUGACUGCAAGGCUGGAGUGCGGCAGAGGGGGAUGGAAUUCCGCGUGUAGCAGUGAAAUGCGUAGAUAUUCGGAGGAACACCGAUGGCGAAGGCAAUCCCCUGGGCCUGCACUGACGCUCAUGCACGAAAGCGUGGGGAGCAAACAGGAUUAGAUACCCGGGUAGUCC
rnacentral:rRNA from 1 species